rnacentral:lncRNA from 1 species
UUUUUUACAGUCAUAAAUGUUUUAAAUAACUGUUUUUAUUAGCUUUGGUUUUAAUUCAAUAGUAUGAGAAAAUUAAUUUUUGGUGGUUUCUGAUUAUAAAAAUUGAAUUAACAUUAUAAUGUUAGUUAUUUAGGGUAAUGGACUUCUUUCUAUUUAAUAAAAUACCAUCUUCUCCCACUGGAUGGCAACAAUGACUCAAAAAUCAAAGGAGUUUUGCAAAUUGCCUUAAUGUGUUGCAGGUCUCAAGUAAAGGACAAGUGAAGCACCAAAUAUAUGAACAGAUAACUACAAAACCACAAUAAUAUAGUUAGGUACCCCAAGACAGGAAGUGCACAAGUUCAUGAAACUGUAUAGUACGUAGAAAUGAGCAAUUUUUUAAAAUCUUACUGUUUUUUGUCUUAUGAUCUAUUGAUAAUAUUGAUUAUAGUUGUUUAGAAUAAGAAAACCAUUGUAAAUGGUAUCAUAAUCUGAAAUGGAUUAAGUGCCAUCAGACAUACAAAUGAGCUACAUGGACACGUCUAGGCAUCAUUUUUCUCUAGACCAAAUUUUAAAAGUAAUAGUUUGUGUUGGACUACUUUUAAGUAGGACUAAUGUCUUUUAAUUAUCCUAGAUAUAUACUUCUAUACCUAAAACAUUGGCUGGUACCUACAGAUAUUUAAUAUAUAUUUAUUGAACAUAAACAAACCAAAGAUAUACUUGAUCUUAUAAGGAUAUAAGAUUUUGUAAAAUUCCCUUCCAGUCAUAUUUGCUUUCCAUCUUUGCAAUUAUGGCAAAGGAAUGUCAGCAUUUAUCUACCCAUGCAACAGGAGUAUUGGGGGCUUAUCAUUUAUCAGUCACUUGCUAGGUGCUGAGAGUUUAAAUUCAAAUAAUACCAGGUUCUUGACCUCAGAGAAUUGACACUUUGAUGGAGUAGAGACUUGUAAAUAAUUUUAGGAGAUUCAGAAAUAUUUACAGAUAUAUAUCUAUACAUACUGCUGUUAGAGAAGAAAAAAAGGGGCAAGAAAUUCCAAUACGGGACAGAUCUUAGUCUUCAAAAAGAAGUACCAUUGAGGUGCUUUGCAAACUGUUCUCCUGCUAGUCAAAAUAGAUGAGUCUCUCCUCAGUCAGCAACAUAAAAUAUCAGUACCAUUGCACUCACAAGAAAAAUAGUUGAAUUAGAAGUCAUGGAGCUCCUGUCAAAAUUCAGGCAAAUAAAACUGAGAUUCAGUGAAUAGAUUCUAAGUGUGUGGAAGACAUGAUCUAUUUACACAUUUAGAAAAUGGAACAGGUUUGGGCUGGGUGUUUCUGCCUCCCCACACCCCUCUAAAUCUUGGUCAAGAGCUGCAUGAGAAGAGUGCCCCUCAUCCCACAGGGUCGUGAAGAAGAGCCCUCGCUGAAACUCUUCUCCUCAGCAUCCCUCUGCUUGUUUGCUUUUUUGUUUUGUGUGUGUGUGUGUGUGUGUGUGUGUGUGUGUGUGUGUGUGUGUGUGUGUGUGUUUUUGAGACUGAGUCUCCCUCUGUUGCCAGGCUGGAGUACAGUGGCGCAACCUUUGUCCCCCGGGCUCAAGUGAUUCUCCUGCCUCAGCCUUCCGAGUAGCUGGGACUACAGGCGUGCGCCACCAGCUAAUUUUUGUAUUUUCGGUAGAGGCGGGGUUUCAUCAUGUUGCCCAGGAUGGUCUUGAGCUCUUGACCUCGUGAUCCCCCCACCUCGGCCUCUCAAAGUGCUGGGAUUACAGGUGUGAGCUACCGCACCGGGCCGUCCCUCUCCUUCUAAUCCUCCUCCAUUCCCUUCCUGAGUCGAGGCUUCUGCUGAAGAGCCCUUACUGGAGAUCAGCAUCCUGUGAUCCUGAGCAUCCAUGAGACAUAUGCACCUCUAACCUCCCUUGGAAAGGGUUUACAUAGGAUUGAACGGAGGGAGAGUUACUAUUGUUUUUACUUCUUCUCUAAGCCAUGUUUUCUGUCGCACACACCAGAUUUCAGUGGCUUGCCUUCUGUGAAUAGAAAUUUGUCAGACACUUAUUUUGUUGAUUUAGUUCUGUUGGUAAACACUGGAGCACAGUCUCGUAGUCAUCUCUCGGAGUUAGAACUGUCAGCUACUAGGAGCUAAAAAAAAAGAGGGACUCCUAGGCAUACUGCCAUUCAACAGAAUCUCUUUCUUUAUUCUAAGAGUUCAAAAAAUAUGGUGCAGCCAGAUUUUUUCUUUUUCACAGAGUUAAGUAUAAUCCAGCUAAAAAUAGUGCCAUGUUUUAAUAUCUGUAACCUAGAAUUUUUAUCCACGCAAAAAUAUUUUCACUUAUAGCCGUUUGUGUAAACUUUGCUUAAGGAAAUUAAUUAAUAGAUAUAUGAGUACUUAAUUUUAAAUGUGAAUCUCCAUAAAUAAAAACAUAUUUUCAUUGGCUAAUAAAAUUCCCUCAUCCCCUCAAUUACUUUGCUCUCUCCAGUGUAAAUCCUUUUUAGGAAAAAUGGGAUGACAGCUGGCAUUAUUUGGUCUCCGUUAUGUGCAUGGCUGACUGAUAAGCAAUUUACACACAUUCUCCUCUUCAGGUCUUAUAAGAAACUUAUGUCUCUCUUAGAGAGACAUAUUAUCUCCAUUUUCCUAAGAAGAAUACAGAUUUGGGGGAUUAAGUAACAUUUCAAAGAUCACAUAGAAAAAUGUCAAUGCUGGAAUUUGAGCUAUGGUCGAUCUAAUUUUAAAAGUCUACUUCUAGAUUUGUAAAAUUUAAUCUAUCCUUGACACAUGCAUGGAACAGAAGACUCUUCCUCUAGCACUGGCAGAGGAAAGGAUUAGAAUAAUGAGAUAACUUUCUACAAUAUGUAAAACCAUGUACACCUAACAACACAUCAACAAUCAUACAAUUGAAAAUGUGGUUUAAUCGUAGCUGUAGAUAUGUUUUGUCAUAAGUGAGACCUACACUUCAAUAGCAACAAUAAAAAUGAAUUAAUAUUUAGAAUAUAAAUUCUGGCACAUACACCACAUCUUCUUUAAAAUUCAUUGAAUAUAUUGAAAUAAAACCAGUCAUGUAAAAUGACUUAAUGAUGAACUUAUGGAAUAUCCUAUAGUUCUCAGUGUAUGUUUAGAACUUUCUGGUGUUCCAAUCUUACCAUAGACCAGGGGCUUACAGCCUGUGCCUGGUCCCAUCAGGACCCAACAGGUGGAUGUUCGAUAUUAUCUUCUCUUUUAGGUCACUUGCCAAUCAGGAAGUUAAACAAUGACCUAUGUUCUUCAUAUAAGAAAGCAGAACAUUCCGGGCCUUUAAUGUUUCAAAAACUUCUCUGUAUUGGCCUAGAGGCUUCUCUUACUUGGACUUUUACAGUGGCUUGAGGUCAUAGUUUUGGGAUGCAAACACAUAACAUUCACUUCCAACUUCUGACUCCAUUUAUAUUUCUCAUCUAUUUAUUUCUGCCCUGGUUCUUGUCUGACAUCUUGAUUUUGGCACCAAAUUAGUUCUUCAUAAGAAUGAAUCUAAAAGUAGGCCCUGCUGUUUAUUCUAAGUUUUUCUUAAAUCCUCUGAUUUUCUUCCUAGGUAUGUCUCCAUAUAUUUAACUAUAAGCAGUCCUUUUUCAGCACAUUAUAUUGGUGCUUAUAAUAUGUUAUCAGAAGAAUAGUUUUUGCUGCAUGUCAUAAAAACCUGGAUUCCAACAGUCUUAAACUAUCCAUUAUUCCACAUAGCAGGAGAUCCAGAGAAAAUGCAGGCUUCAAGUUUGGUUGACCUGGUGAUGUCAUCAACGAUCCAGGAUCAUUUCAUCUCUUCUCAGCCAUUCUCAGUUUAGGCUCCAUUUUCAGGCUGGUGGAAAUAUAGCUGCAGCAGUUCAAGUUUUCUAAUUCUGACACAAUAUCUAGAAGGGAAGAGACCAUCCUUUUCUGGAGGUCUCUCUUUGAGCCAAGGAAAUGUUUCUUGAAGGUCCCUGCAGACUUCCUCACACAUCUCAUUGGUCAUAUGCCCAGGCUUGAAACCACUCACUGGCAAGAGGAAUGAAUCUGCAAUGAUUCAGGUCAGUCACCUGGGUGGAGUGAAUGUGGGGGAAUCAGCCACAAUAUUCACAUGUAGUGAAUUUCUUCCAAAUAUGUUAUAAAUAGUGAUGAUGUUGGCAUACUAUUUGGUUGUGUGCAUAGUGCCAUGACACUGGUCUGUUGAAAACAAAGAAAUAUUUUACGUGGUGUAAUAUGUUGCAGGAUCUUGGGGGCAAAACUACAAAGUAUUUUUGAUGCAAUGUUCCUGUUAUAUUUACAGAACCUACUACAUGCUGGAGUUCUCUGAUACAAUGCUAAUAAAUUUAUCCAAAGCUAAAAUUUGAAUGAAUUGUAUUAGCUGCUUCAUCCUUAUAGAAUAAGAUUGCAUCCUUUCAAUAAUGGGUGUAAUACCAUAUUAAGUGAUGCAUUUCACUGUUGCUGGCUAUGCAGGAUAUGCUAAGAGACUGUGAUUCUGGUUUUCCCAGCAUUGAUAGAUCAUUCACCUCCAUAUCACCUAAAAGAAGAAAGUUAAAGGCAGCAGUAUAUUUAUUUGUUGAGGGUUGUCACCGUGUUCCCUUUCCUUGCUGUGGGUGAGUGGAAGGAAGCUGCAAGAAGACCACUCACAGAGCUUGGCAUAUGCCCAUUAGUAUUCGGAGGAGGAAGCGACUGGUACCUGAUGCCUACCUGAAAAUGUCUAAUGGGAAAGAUCUGGCCAACCACUCUGAAGGCAGAGCAAGAGGAGUGUACUACAUUCAGAGGAAGCCACUCUUCUACCAAAAGCAAGGACAAGGAAACUGUUUUCUCCUGUAAAAUCACCAUGAAG